UACGUAGGGUGCAAGCGUUAAUCGGAAUUACUGGGCGUAAAGCGCACGCAGGCGGUCGAUUAAGUUUGGAGUGACAGUUGGUGGCUUAACUGCCAAAGUGCUUUGAAAACUGAUCGACUUGAGGGCUUCAGAGGGACACGGAAUUCCGGGUGGAGUGGUGAAAUGCGUAGAGAUCAGGAGGAACACCAAUGGCGAAGGCAGCUCACUGGGACGGUAUUGACGCUGGAGA
rnacentral:rRNA from 1 species